GAAAAGUAAUUUGCUUGUCAAAAUGAAGUCGUUUUGUCCAAGAAAACAGAGAGAGAGAGAGAGAGUGGUGGGAGGAGGGAUGAAGUAGAUGAAGAAGAUGAUGGAGGAGACGAGCUCACGCAACAAAACAGAGAGAGAGAGAGAGAGAGAGAGAGAGUGGUGGGAGGAGGGAUGAAGUAGAUGAAGAAGAUGAUGGAGGAUUCAUUCCUAGCGAUAGAAACCUGCGACAACCAAAUUAAUUACAGGUGGUUCUUUUUCUUUUAUUUUCUAGGCAAAAUUCAUAUUAGGGGUA
rnacentral:lncRNA from 1 species